CAGCCGCCGCGGUAAUACGAAGGGUGCAAGCGUUACUCGGAAUUACUGGGCGUAAAGCGUGCGUAGGUGGUUCGUUAAGUCUGAUGUGAAAGCCCUGGGCUCAACCUGGGAAUUGCAUUGGAUACUGGCGAGCUAGAGUGCGGUAGAGGGUAGUGGAAUUCCCGGUGUAGCAGUGAAAUGCGUAGAGAUCGGGAGGAACAUCUGUGGCGAAGGCGACUGCCUGGACCAGCACUGACACUGAGGCACGAAAGCGUGGGGAGCGAACAGGAUUAGAUACCCCCGUAGUCCCUGUCUCUUAUAC
rnacentral:rRNA from 1 species